GACGAACGCUGGCGGCGUGCUUAACACAUGCAAGUCGAACGAAGUGGCGAACGGGUGAGUAACGCGUAAUCAACCUGCCCUUCAGAGGGGGACAACAGGUGGAAACGACUGCUAAUACCGCAUACUUAAGGAGGUGAUUGCGUCUGAUUCGCUAGUUGGAGGGGUAACGGCCCACCAAGGCGAUGAUCAGUAGCCGGUCCGAGGAGAUGAACGGCCAAAAUGGGACUGAGACACGGCCCAGACUUCUACGGGAGGGAGCAGUGGGGAAACUUCCGCAAUGGGCGAAAGUCUGAAGGAGCAACGGCGCGUGAGUGGUGACGGCCUUCGGGUUGGAAAGCUCUGUUAAUCGGGACGCGGUACCGGAAUAGAAAGCCACGGCUAACUACGUGCCAGCAGCCGCGGUAAUUC
rnacentral:rRNA from 1 species